rnacentral:piRNA from 1 species
UAGGUGUUGAGAUGGAUUCCUGUUUGUGU